GAUGAACGCUGGCGGCGUGCUUAACACAUGCAAGUCGAACGGAAAGGCCCAAGCUUGCUUGGGUACUCGAGUGGCGAACGGGUGAGUAACACGUGGGUGAUCUGCCCUGCACUUUGGGAUAAGCCUGGGAAACUGGGUCUAAUACCGGAUAGGACCACCUUUUGGAUGGUGUGGUGGAAAGUUUUUCGGGGUGGGAUGAGCUCGCGGCCUAUCAGCUUGUUGGUGGGGUAAUGGCCUACCAAGGCGUCGGCGGGUAGCCGGCCUGAGGGGGUGUACGGCCACAUUGGGGCUGAGAUACGGCCCAGACUCCUACGGGAGGCAGCAGUGGGGAAUAUUGCACAAUGGGCGCGAGCCUGAUGCAGCGACGGCGCGUGGGGGAUGACGGCCUUCGGGUUGGAAACUCCUUUCGCCAUGGACGAAACGGUAUGUGACGGUACCUGGAGAAGAAGCACCGGCUAACUACGUG
rnacentral:rRNA from 1 species